GCUUCUACUUUUGCUUUAGGGGUGCGUUUGAUUCGCGCUAUUUUUUUAAGAUUCCUAGUAAUCCAAUAGGAAUAAAAAAAUAUGACGGUGUUUGGCUAAACGCAUUAAGUAAUCUAGUUGGUAAUACUGGAUUUACUUGGGAAUGAGAUGCAUCCCAAAGUACUAAUCUCAUUUCUUUAAGGGAGGGUGGGUAUUCUUAUACUAAUGAAUUUGAGUAAUUAUAAUAUGUCUAAUCUUUUUUUUUUUCCCACCCGCCGGCUAGUUGGUAUUAUUUUUCUUUACACUCUAAUCUCAUAUCUCUCUCUAAACUUAUCUUUUUCUUUCUAAACUUCAACUCUUUUUCUCUCUCUAAAUUAAGCUAUUUCUCCCCCUCUUUUUCUAAAAUCUCAACCCUCUCAUUCUCUCUAACCUCGACUCUAUUUCUCUUUCUAUUUUCUUUAAUUAUGCUCUCUCUUUCUAACCUAUAUUCUCUCUCUCUUUUUGCUAAAAAGAUAUUGAAAUUUUUUAUAGUAUUAUUUAAAAUUAAAUUAAUUAAUUAAUUAAUUAAUUGUAUAUUUUUUGUAAUCUUAAAUAACAUGACUAAAUAAUAUGACCGUACGAACCAAACACCGAAAUACUACAUUUUUAGUAAUAGGAUGAAUAGGAAUAAGAUUUUCGGAUAUUUUUUUACUCCUAGUAAUCUUUCAUAGUGCGAACCAAAUGCGCCUUAAGGGGAAUCUAUUGGAGAAAAUUGUGUCAAGUAAGUUAUUAGUGCUUCUUUGAACUUCUCUUUUGAAACAGCAAAUAUGUAAAAGCUCUACUUUGUCCAGGUGGCCGUAUUAGUGCUUAUAAAAUGUUCAAAUAUUGUCUUAUAAAAUGUUCAAAUAUAUGCCAGAUUGCCAUCAAUCUCUACGCAUGCAACAUGAACAAAAAGGACUGGGACAGACCUGAGGAGUGGAGGCCCGAGAGGUUUUUGAAUGGCAAGUUCGAGUCCUCGGACUUGCUCAAGACAAUGGCUUUCGGAGCGGGGAAGAGGGUUUGCGCGGGAUCUCUGCAGGCGAUGCUGAUCUCAUGUGUGUCCAUUGGUCGACUCGUGCAGGAGUUCGAGUGGAGGCCGAGGGAAGGAGAUGCGGAUGAUGUAGAUACAGUCCUGCUUACCACCCACAAGCUCCAUCCCUUGCAUGCAUACCUAACACCGAGAGGGAAAGUGAACCAUUAAGAUUCACAAUUCCAAGUUGAUCCAUUUUGCUUUGUAUGAAUGCAUGUUUAAUGUUAUACUGAAGCAGAUGAUCUUUCAAUCCUGCGCUUAUGGCUAUGGCUUAUCUUUAGACUUCACUAUGUUGAAAGAUUUUGACUAUUCUGGGAGGAAGGUCGUUUUGAUCAUUUGAGUGAUACUGCUUUUGUGCAAUGCUGUAGCUUGAUUUAUUAAAAUUGCUGGUUCAAAUGUUAGUGUGAAAUGUCUUGGUUUAUCCAAAUUAUUUCUUCAGACUCGAUGUUGAUUUUACUUCGGAUCAAGAAUUUAAGUGUCCAUCGGCAUGAGCCGUAUCUACCGUGCUGUACCGUGCCAACAGGAUACCGACAUGAUACAACUCAGGUGCCGAUGGUACAAUUCAAAAUUUUUUAUUUUAAAAUUUGUAAGUAAUUUUUUGAAUAAAGUUUAAAAGAUUUGAUAAAAAUACAUGAUAAACCGUUAAAAUAUUUUGUUGUUAAGAAAAAUAAAUAUUUCAUGGAAUUAUGUGUUGGCGCACAUGAAUUUUUGGUGACUAGUAAGCAUCGGCAUGGCCCGUCAUGCAUCAUAUCGUAUCGUGUCAGCAAGUUUCGACACGAUCUUGUACCACGGUACUUAAAUCCUUACUUCGAAUAAUACAAUUUUGUCUGGAACUAAGUUCUUAUUUAGUCGAUUAAUGCAUGGUACCCGAAAAUUGUUCCAAUUUUUUUAUCAAGCUAUACCAACAAAUUGAGAUAGUGCAUCAACCCAAAUCAAGCUUAAAUUUCUAGUCAAUGAAUUAUCCAAAAAAAUCUGUAUGAUUACAAGCUAAAUAGUUUACUUGAAUUUGAAUUUGGUUAUUCUUGGUUUUCCGAAAUGGAAAUUAAUUUAUUGUGAACGGGGCCGUAAACUAGCUGUACACGCGGCAAACGUGCAGCUGGAUGAAUCAUCUCUCUACCAGAUUUUUUUUAAAAUUUUUUUUUUAUUUUUUUUUUCUCAGCAGAAAAUGUUUUCGAUUUUUAAUUUAAUUUUUUUAAAAAGUACGCCCGUAAGCAUCUUCCUGACACCCCGCAAUCAUAUCCGUCCAGAUGGCAACGGAAGGUUCGUCUGCUCAGAUCCGACGGCUGCCGCUAAAAGCCUCGACAUCAGCUAUCCUGACCUCACGUUAUACAUGCCCAAUCGUUGCCCUUCUGGAUGAGGGGUUAUGGCCUGAACCUGAUCCACCGCGUCGUCCGUAGACCGUUCUGAUUUAAAAAUUAUUGCCUGGAUCAAGUUCACCACNCGUACGAACCAAACACCGAAAUACUACAUUUUUAGUAAUAGGAUGAAUAGGAAUAAGAUUUUCGGAUAUUUUUUUACUCCUAGUAAUCUUUCAUAGUGCGAACCAAAUGCGCCUUAAGGGGAAUCUAUUGGAGAAAAUUGUGUCAAGUAAGUUAUUACUGCUUCUUUGAACUUCUCUUUUGAAACAGCAAAUAUGUAAAAGCUCUACUUUGUCCAGGUGGCCGUAUUAGUGCUUAUAAAAUGUUCAAAUAUUGUCUUAUAAAAUGUUCAAAUAUAUGCCAGAUUGCCAUCAAUCUCUACGCAUGCAACAUGAACAAAAAGGACUGGGACAGACCUGAGGAGUGGAGGCCCGAGAGGUUUUUGAAUGGCAAGUUCGAGUCCUCGGACUUGCUCAAGACAAUGGCUUUCGGAGCGGGGAAGAGGGUUUGCGCGGGAUCUCUGCAGGCGAUGCUGAUCUCAUGUGUGUCCAUUGGUCGACUCGUG
rnacentral:lncRNA from 1 species